CAAAACCCACCCCAUCAUGCUUCAGAAACCCAGAACGUAAUAGAUGUUGUUGUAGUUGUUGUUAAAGAGAAGACAAGAAGCGUAUCCAUCGAGCACCGAGCUCUCAGUUCACUUCCAUUCUUCGUUAAACUGAAGCUCCCAACUCAUCUUUCUUGCUCCAAAUUCAACUUCAGAUUUCGUUUACUGGAAGGGGAACCGUGAAAAUAAUAUGAGCAAGUCUUCAAUUGAAUUGCUCCUAUGGAAAGCCCUUUUCCCCCUUACUGAAACCAACAAGGAAAAGGGCUGAUUCGCUACCUUCUUCCAGAUGCUCAAGCUCCAGUGAAGCCAGCACAGUGACCAAAGUGAAAGAAAAUGAUGGGGGGUGGGUUUUGGUGAAAAUGAUGGAAGGAGGGGGUGAAGAGGGUGGAAGAAAGAAGAAAGGGACCAAAGUGAAAGAAAAUUAGAAAGAUAAUGUUGACUUUUAUUAAUUGGGUUAACGAACGUUACGGGAUUUUAACGUCAGGGACUAAUAUGACUAUUUUUUGCCACAUCUGGGGACCGCGAGCCUAAUAAAAUUCAUCCAGGGACGAUUCUGAAGUCGGUGCGAACAUCCAGGGACCAAUGUGACUAUUUACCCGAAACGAAUGCAUAAACAAGUGUAAAAGGGAUUGGAAGAAUUUGGAGGUAUCCACGUUGGAUUUUUAUUCAUGUGGCAAAAUGUGUAUUAUGUGUCGCUCACGUGUCGGCGCGCGCUUCACAAUUCCUAUAUUAUAAUAGAUUGAUGACGUGUUGAACUCUUGUAUAUCCCUUGGUUUUCCAAGUCAGAAUUUUUUUGUAAGAAAAAAGUGUAACUAAAGUAAAAUUAUUUUGAAAUCUCUCAUCUCCCUUGAAUUAAAUAAGAAUUGGCCAUUUUUCCUCA